AGCUUUGCACGGUGGCAGUAUCGUAGCCAAUGAGGUUUAUCCGAGGCGCGAUUAUUGCUAAUUGAAAACUUUUCUCAAACCUCUUCUGAAAAGAAACCUAAGGUGGAAUGAUAUGCAAAUGUUAUGCUCAUCAAAUGUGAU